rnacentral:tRNA from 1 species
ACGCUGUGAAAUAUGGCAUUGAUGGGACUCAUAAUCCUUUGGUCGUUGGUUCAAGUCCAACACGUCCUACCA